UCCGAGUUGACCCCGGCAGUCUCCUAUGAGUUCCCGCCAUGACGCGCUGGCAACAUAGAACGAGGGUUGCGCUCGUUGCGGGACUUAACCCAACAUCUCACGACACGAGCUGACGACAACCAUGCACCACCUGUGCACCUGUCUUGCGAGGAGACUGUUUCCAGCCUUUUCAGGUGCAUGUCAAGCCUUGGUAAGGUUCUUCGCGUUGCAUCGAAUUAAUCCGCAUGCUCCGCCGCUUGUGCGGGCCCCCGUCAAUUCCUUUGAGUUUUAGCCUUGCGGCCGUACUCCCCAGGCGGGGAACUUAAUGCGUUAGCUGCGACACGGAAUCCGUGGAAUGGACCCCACAUCUAGUUCCCAACGUUUACGGCGUGGACUAC
rnacentral:misc_RNA from 1 species